GCCUACGGCCAUACCACCCCUGGGAAACGCCCGAUCUCGUCUGAUCUCGGAAGCUAAGCAGGGUCGGGCUCGGUUAGUACUUGGAUGGGAGACUGCCUGGGAAUACCGAGUGUCGUAGGCG
rfam:Gallus gallus breed Red Jungle fowl, inbred line TCD001 Contig20358.1, whole genome shotgun sequence. [11-NOV-2016]